UGGGGAAUAUUGGACAAUGGGCGGAAGCCUGAUCCAGCAACGCCGCGUGAGGGAUGACGGCCUUCGGGUUGUAAACCUCUUUCAGUACCGACGAAGCGAAAGUGACGGUAGGUACAGAAGAAGGACCGGCCAACUACGUGCCAGCAGCCGCGGUAAUACGUAGGGUCCGAGCGUUGUCCGGAAUUAUUGGGCGUAAAGGGCUCGUAGGCGGUUUGUCGCGUCGGGAGUGAAAACAGCGGGCUUAACUCGUUGCUUGCUUUCGAUACGGGCAGACUAGAGGUAUGCAGGGGAGAAUGGAAUUCCUGGUGUAGCGGUGAAAUGCGCAGAUAUCAGGAGGAACACCGGUGGCGAAGGCGGUUCUCUGGGCAUUACCUGACGCUGAGGGA
rnacentral:rRNA from 1 species